GCCGCUCAUAUGAUGCUGACAUAUCUGCAUUAACUGAUGAUAGCGUAGCAAAUCCUACAGAGGAUAAAAUAAGAUCCCAGAGGCACACACAUCAACCACAAGGGCUAAACUCAUCCAGCAGCACAGAAGUCAGUGCACAGUCCAGCAGAACAGUCCCUUAUGAAGAGCAAGGGGUACACUCAUUUCAUCCUGACAUACCUGCAUCGACUGAUGACACCAGACAAAUAUGCAUAGUGGACAACACAAUAUCCAGGAAGUCCUUCAGAGAUCAUCCUCAAGGGCCAGACUCACACGGCAGCACAGAAGUCAGUGCACAGUUCAGCAGAAUAGUCCCUUAUGAAGCACAAGGGGCGCACUCAAUUCAUCCUGCCAUACCUGCAUUAACUGAUGACACCAGACAAAUAUGCAUAGUGGACAGCGCAAUAUCCAAGAAGUCCUUCAGAGAUCAUCCUCAAGGGCCAGACUCACACGGCAGCACAGAAGUCAAUGCACAGUCCGGCAGAAUAGUUCCUUAUGAAGC